GUUUAAGGAGGAAGCAGCUAUGUCUGCAUUUCUCUAAAUACCCUAAAGCAAACACCAUGGAUUUUACAAGAUAAAUAAAGAGGCCACUGAGAUUUCACAGGCUGCCCUGGCUCUGCUGUGGGCAGAGAAACAAGCACAAUUCCCGUGGGCAAAACUGAGGGCCGAUGGGACAAAUGAGGCAAGAUUUCCAGUACAUCUUGUCCAAAGAGGUCAACACGGACUUGUGGGCGGAUCCUGAGACGGCUUCCCCUCAUCUAAGAUCAGAUAGGGCGAGAGUUCUGUGGAUCCUCAAUAGGUAGGGACAACGGCCACAUUCAGCAGGAAUCAGGCACAGAAGUAGAGAUCUCCUGUUCCUCAACUUCCCAUAGAGGUUUAUGGGGAUCACGUCUCUCAAGGGGGACAUAAGGC